rnacentral:rRNA from 1 species
UACGGAGGGUGCAAGCGUUAUCCGGAUUCACUGGGUUUAAAGGGUGCGUAGGUGGGUCUGUAAGUCAGUGGUGAAAUCUCCGAGCUUAACUCGGAAACUGCCAUUGAUACUAUAGGUCUUGAAUUAUCUGGAGGUAAGCGGAAUAUGUCAUGUAGCGGUGAAAUGCUUAGAUAUGACAUAGAACACCAAUUGCGAAGGCAGCUUACUACGAAUCGAUUGACACUGAGGCACGAAAGCGUGGGGAGUCAAACAGG